rnacentral:lncRNA from 1 species
AGAGCGCCGUCGACCCCACGCCACGCAGAGGUGAAGAUACGCAGGACGUCCUCUAAAGCAACUUCCGUGGGUGCCAGGUUGUGGGCUGGGGGCGGUGCUGACCUUGAGAGAGCGGAGGAGGCGCAGGCGCAGCACAGUUUAAACUUGAUUUUGUGAGGGGACGAACAGCGUGACAAUUAAAAGAAGAUCUGGGAAUCGAAUACCCAUCUCGAGUUCUGGAUAUGUGCUCUGAGAAGGUGCCCAUGUCACCGACCACACUGGAGGCCAAUGCAGAUACUGGGGGAAGGUUCCAUGGUAGCUAAGUGUGGACAAGCUAAUCACUGAAGUUCCCUGAUGCAGAGUUGAUAAUCUCUCUAGAGUUGGAUGAAAGACUGUGCUGCCUUGAAGCUCUGAGAGAUGCCAUGCCAAUUCAAGGCAGGGUCUUUAUUGUUGAAACUCUUGCGUAAUGACAUCUUUAUUCAGGUGAAAAUACAGGAUGAAUUUCAACUAUAUGAUAUUGUUUAUGUUCCUCAGACAUGUUAUUUGUCUUUACAAAGAUUGGUUUCAAUAAACUGUGUGACUGAUAUUAAAUAAACAUGGAAUUUUACACAUUCAUAAUAUUUGGUUUCUU